GUGCUGGCUUCGGCAGCACAUAUGCUAAAAUCGGAAUGACACAGAGAAGGCUAUCGUGCCCCUGUGCACAGAUGACACACGCAUUUGCGAAGUGUUUCAUGUUUUU
ensembl:snRNA U6 U6 spliceosomal RNA